rnacentral:rRNA from 1 species
GAUGAACGCUAGCGACAGGCCUAACACAUGCAAGUCGAGGGGCAGCAUGAAAGUAGCUUGCUACUUUUGAUGGCGACCGGCGCACGGGUGGGUAACAGGUGUGCAAUCUGUCCAUAAUCGGGGAAUAGCCCAGCGAAAGUUGGAUUAAUGCUCCAUGUGAGUUUUAGAGGCAUCUCUUUAACUUGAAACGUAAGGAUUAUGGGUGAGCACGCUUCUGAUUAGGUAGUUGGUGAGGUAACGGCUCACCAAGCCGACGAUCAGUAGGGGUUCUGAGAGGAAGGUCCCCCACAUUGGAACUGAGACACGGUCCAAACUCCUACGGGAGGCAGCAGUGAGGAAUAUUGGUCAAUGGACGCAAGUCUGAACCAGCCAAGUCGCGUGAAGGAUGAAGGUUCUAUGGAUUGUAAACUUCUUUUGUCUGAGGGUAAAAAAGCGGACGUGUCCGUUCUUGCAAGUAUCAGACGAAUAAGCAUCGGCUAACUCCGUGCCAGCAGCCGCAGUAAUAC